UAGGGAAUCUUCGGCAAUGGGGGCAACCCUGACCGAGCAACGCCGCGUGAGUGAAGAAGGUUUUCGGAUCGUAAAGCUCUGUUGUAAGAGAAGAACGAGUGUGAGAGUGGAAAGUUCACACUGUGACGGUAACUUACCAGAAAGGGACGGCUAACUACGUGCCAGCAGCCGCGGUAAUACGUAGGUCCCGAGCGUUAUCCGGAUUUAUUGGGCGUAAAGCGAGCGCAGGCGGUUAGAUAAGUCUGAAGUUAAAGGCUGUGGCUUAACCAUAGUACGCUUUGGAAACUGUUUAACUUGAGUGCAGAAGGGGAGAGUGGAAUUCCAUGUGUAGCGGUGAAAUGCGUAGAUAUAUGGAGGAACACCGGUGGCGAAAGCGGCUCUCUGGUCUGUAACUGACGCUGAGGCUCGAAAGCGUGGGGAGCAAACAGGAUUAGAUACCCUGGUAGUCCACGCCGUAAACGAUGAGUGCUAGGUGUUGGGUCCUUUCCGGGACUCAGUGCCGCAGCUAACGCAUUAAGCACUCCGCCUGGGGAGUACGACCGCAAGGUU
rnacentral:rRNA from 1 species